GUUUGAGCUUUCUGAGUUGGCACAGAAAGAACAUUCUUUGUUGAAUGAAGCAUCUGUCAAGACUCGGGCUGUUCAGCUUCUGGAUGACAGCUAUAGAAUUUUCUGACAUCUUGGUUGCUCGUGCUUCGUCCAAUGCCAUUUGCAAGAUCCCACCUUUGUCGCCAGCUUUAUAUUCCGUGAAUGAUGGGCAAUAACAGAGGCAAGACGGAGGCUAACAGGCUAACUGAAAGCAAAGUCCACAGAAGCCGGGGGAGUGUCCAAAGGGUUUUCGCAAAUGUGGUCGUCCUACACCUAAUCAGUGCGAGAGAGAUGAUGAUUGCAGAGAAAGGCAGAAGUGUUGUUACAUUUGUUGUGCACUGCGCUGUGUAAAGCCAAGGUUUCCCAGUUAAUGAAAAUGGUUUGAUGGUUCAAUGUAUUCAACAAUAUGAAAGCAUCUUUCUGAUCCCUUCAUAAGCCUCAAAAAUGUCUCUCGAACAAGAGAUGAGAAGAGCAAGAUAUCUGCCACAAUGCUUUACUCCUUGUUGUUUUAGGGAACUUUUCUUUCUGUCUCUUUCUGUGAAUUUCCC